UGAAAGGGAGAAUUUGGACCAUGAUUUCAAGACUUGCUGCUAUCGAAUACAGAUCGCUCCGUGAUCAAUUUGAUCGAUUAUUAACGUUUACUAAUACCUAGAGUUGGAUUACAAAAGUAAUUUGAAGUGUUUUGUCAAAGUUUAUAGGCAACUUUUUUAAUUUAAAAAAAUGACGUUGCGUUUUUGAAAGCAGUUUUUUCCUGAUCAGACAGGCUUCAUAAAUGGACAUUUUGGGUAUACAUGGACGGAUUUAAUCAAAAAAAUACCCAAUUGUGAUGUUUAUGGGACAUAUAGGAGUGCCAACAAAGAAGCUCGUCAAAGAGUUCCCAGGUGUCUUGAAAGCACAUAAAUCCAGAGAAUGACAGACUUUGAUGACAAAGGAAGGACCGCCCCGCCACCUUCCUGUUCAAGUGAGUGCAGCACAACAAGGACAAUGACCCAACACACCUCCAGGCUGUGUAAGGGCUAUUUUACCAAGAAGGAGAGUGAUGGACUGCUGCAUCAGAUGACCUGGCCUCCACAAUACCCCGACCAGAAAUCAAAUUGAGAUGGUUUGGGAAGAGUCAGAAUGCAGAGUGAAGGAAAUGCAGCCAACAAGUGCUCAGCAUAUGUGGGACCUCCUUCGAGAGUGUUGGAAAAGCAUUCCAGCUGAAGCUGGUUGAGAGAAUGCCUAGAGUGUGGAAAGCUGUCAUCAAGGCAAAGGGUUUCUAGUGCCUUCAACAACAUCCAGCCACAUCUUCGAGCCCGGAAUCUCCAGGUCAUGCAGUUACAUCCUCCCGACAUCGCCUGCGUCACGGACUAACUCACUGACGGGCCAUAGUGGGUCAGACUACAGAACCACUUGGGCUCAGACACCAUCAUCACUAACACAGGUUCCCCACAAGGGACGGUUUUGUCACCAUUCCUCUUCACCCUCUACACAGCAGACUGCCGGCAAGCCCAAGCCUCCUGACACCUACGAAAGUUUUCAGACGAUUUCAGCCAUUAUAUGCUGCAUCACGAAGAAUGACGAUCACCUAUACAGGGGGGGGGGGGAUGUCUUCAUUUGUGGCAUGGUGCAGUCAAAACAACCUGGAGCUGAAGGCAUCAAAAACAAAAGAGCUGGAGAUAGACUUGAGAAGGAAGAAGGAGAGCGCUUUUCCUCUGAUCGGGGUCACCGUGGAAAUGGUAGACUCAUAAAAAU
ensembl:lncRNA